UUAGUUGAAACCAAAAAAGAGGUAUAUCACUGUUAAUGAUAAGACUGGGAAUAAUCCCCAUCUAAG
rnacentral:tRNA from 1 species